rnacentral:rRNA from 1 species
CUUCGGGGUACUCGAGUGGCGAACGGGUGAGUAACACGUGGGUGAUCUGCCCUGCACUUUGGGAUAAGCCUGGGAAACUGGGUCUAAUACCGAAUAGGACCGCGCGCUUCAUGGUGUGUGGUGGAAAGCUUUUGCGGUGUGGGAUGGGCCCGCGGCCUAUCAGCUUGUUGGUGGGGUAAUGGCCUACCAAGGCGACGACGGGUAGCCGGCCUGAGAGGGUGACCGGCCACACUGGGACUGAGAUACGGCCCAGACUCCUACGGGAGGCAGCAGUGGGGAAUAUUGCACAAUGGGCGCAAGCCUGAUGCAGCGACGCCGCGUGAGGGAUGACGGCCUUCGGGUUGUAAACCUCUUUCACCAGGGACGAAGCGCAAGUGACGGUACCUGGAGAAGAAGCACCGGCCAACUACGUGCCAGCAGCCGCGGUAAUACGUAGGGUGCGAGCGUUGUCCGGAAUUACUGGGCGUAAAGAGCUCGUAGGUGGUUUGUCGCGUUGUUCGUGAAAACUCACAGCUUAACUGUGGGCGUGCGGGCGAUACGGGCAGACUAGAGUACUGCAGGGGAGACUGGAAUUCCUGGUGUAGCGGUGGAAUGCGCAGAUAUCAGGAGGAACACCGGUGGCGAAGGC